AAUCCGUGAUGAGGGCAUUUGGUUUGAUAACCCUUCAAGCGCUCCCAAGCGUCACAGAAGGCUUCAGUUUGCUUCUGAGUGAAUUCGGAUAUCUCAUUCCGGAGUCU
rfam:Arabidopsis thaliana chromosome 3, complete sequence.